UUUUUUUGGACUCUUACUCACGCGUUUCUGUCGAGAUGGAAGUGGAGACCUUGAUCUUGAAUGUGAUCUCGACAAAGAAUGGGGCUUUGAUCCAGAGCGGGAACGAGAAGCAGAUCUUGAUCUUGAUCUUGACCUAAUAGGCGAGCCGCGUGAAGAUUUGGUUUUAGGAGAUUUGCUCCGGCUCCUGCUCCGGCCAGAACUUCGGCCUCGGCUACGACUACGGCUAUCACUAUGGCCUCUUGAAUGAGAUCGGCCGCGGCUGGGGCUCCUAGAGAAGUCCCUCUUGGAAUCAUAUUCCCUCACACGAACAUAUGCCCGGGAAAAUGCAUUUCUAAAUUCAGAGUCAUCAAGUUUCUUGAUUGCUGCCUUCAUGUCUUCAUAGUUUGUGUAAUCCACAAUCCCCGUGGUACC
rnacentral:misc_RNA from 1 species